UAGCUCAGUGGUGGAGCACUUGCCUGGCAUGCAUGAGGUCUUGGGUUCAGCCCCCAG
rnacentral:tRNA from 1 species